GCAACAUUGCUCCAGGUACAAACCAUCAGCACAAGGGACUCCAGGGGCCCCUGGUGAAGAUCCAACUACUGACUACAUGAAUGUACAGGUACUAGCAUGAUCUUCAGCAUGUGUGGUCUAAUGAUGAGAUUGAAGUGGUGUGCUUGGGUUGCGCUAUACUGCUCCUGCAUCAGCUUUGCCAACUCGAGAGUCAAUGACGAUACGAAACAAAUGCUCAGCAGCUUCAUGUUGUCCAUUUCUGCAGUUGUGAUGUCCUACCUUCAAAACCCACAGCCAAUGACACCUCCAUGGUCCAAUAUAUAAACAGUUCUAUAUUAUCGAUUGUUUUUGGUUGAAUGGAAAUGUAUAAUUGCCUCACCAUACUUGUAUUAAAAUUGUACUGCUGAAUGACAGUGACAAUUUUAGUUUUAAUAAACUAGCUAAUGGUGCCAGGUUUGUAUUAUGAUGUGCAAUAUGGAACAGUGCCAACAUUUGAUGAUGUGCAUGAGUUACAAAAUGGCUUGGUUUGUUAAUCUUUUAAUUUGUGUAGCCUGCACUAUAUAAUUCUUGUGUUAUACUUCCCAUCCAAAAGUUUCUUGUAAGCAGCUUGUCUUUUUUUUUCUUUAACAAAUGGACAAAUUUGUAUUGUCCCAUAACAUUAUCAUGUCAUUCAUGCCAGUGUAAAAGGCAAUAGCAUGAAGGUCAAAGCUUGAAAUAUCCUGGAAUAUGAAGUACCAUACGAGUUGAUCCUCGAGUGACAACCACAUUAGUACAGUAGAUAGCCUCCAUAUUAGACAUAAAAGGAAGACUUGAUCACCACGUUAGAAAUAGAAGAGUGAAAGGGAAUUGGGAGUGGAAUGGUAGGCAGUCAGUAUGGGGGAAGGGAGACUUUUGGAGUACAGUACAGUACUGUCCAUUCAGUAGAGCCAGGCUGUCACCUGAUCGGAUGACAGGCAAAGUUAUCAGUCACUAGCACUGAUUUUAUAGUUUUCUUCGAGGUGACAUCAACUGCAUAAUAUCUUUUUGAUCAUGAAAUUACAUUAACUCCAACCAGUUACUGCUGGCUAAUAAUUCUUAGACAUAAAGGAAAGAGGACAAAUCAGAAGAGCAUGUUAAGAUAGGGCUACCUGAAUAGGUUUCAGUUGUGGUUACUCCAUCAGAGGGGCGUUCAUGGGGAUAAAGACAGAUUCUACAGUAAAUUGUUAAUUCCUCUUUUAGGACUGCCUCCUCUUCCAUUUUGCUUAGUUAUGCAAAGUUGUUGUUUUAUGGUUACAAAGGAAACAUAUCAUUCCUUAAUUUCUUAUUUUGACUGUAUCAGAAUUUAGAAUUUCUAAAAUAUAGUUACAGGUUGUAAGUACAGUAUGUAUAACAGUUUAUACAGUACUAUACUUAGUGUAUAAAAUAUAUAUUAAUGCAGGCCAUAUGUAUUAUUGUUAAAUAUGUACUUUUGUAUUUCAUAGUAAACCUUUUACCAUAAUAUAUAAUUAUCUUCUCCUUUCAAUAGUGCAUUUGUCAUGUUGAAUUAUAUGGUAUAUCAGGAUUUUAUCGGUACUACCUUGUUGACUGCGUGUUCCUCCCGUUACUAUACUGUAUACAGUAUCUCUCCUUCCCAUUACAGUAUUACGCUGAGAUGUAUCAGUAAGGUGGUUGGGCUCACUGGCUCAAGCAAAGAAUAUUCACUAUACAAUACUAUAUUGAAUAUAAAUUCAGUGGAUUUUGUACUACAUGGGAACCUGGUCCAAGAUAGGGAUUUUAAUCUAGCCAGUGACCUGUACAAUGAAUUUGGCAUCUAGAUAAUGCAGAAUUCCUCCAAGACUGAUAAUUUUAAAUUAAUAUUACUAAAAAAUUCAAACAGUGCUUUUUCCAUGGGAUUUCUGCAUCAAAUUAUGCACAAAUGUAUGUCCUAUCAUGUGCACAAAUAAAGGGUGAAUGCUGUGGAUCUUGUUGUCCAUUAAAAUCUGUACAAUAAAGCUUUCAGUCACAUGCCAUCCCUAAGGUG
rnacentral:lncRNA from 1 species